AGCUCAUUUUGUAUUUUCUUUUUUUUUGGGGGGGGGGGGGUGUGUUGAAUGAAUAAUGUUGUUGUUCGUUGUUGUUCCAUAAAUACGAUAUGGAGAUUUUGGUGUGAUAAUACAUCAAUUUUCAAGUACGCAAAAAUGUGUAAAAAGAUAAAGAGUGUGGCGACUGGCGUAGACUACAGCUCCAAGCCUCCAACUACAAUGGAGGCCGUGGCAACCUCUCCUCGACAAAUCCCUCUUCUACGCCUCGCACUCUCUUCCCCAAUCGCCCCUUUCGAUUCCUUGAUCUUCCUCAAUAAUAAGCCUCUUUUCAAAGUGAUUGAUUAUAGUGUUGGAAGUUCCAAAAGCUGCCUUUACAUGAUAUGGCAGGGCCAAAACCAGUUCAGGGUCUUCAAUGUUAACAUUCUGUCAGCCUAUCAUCCCCUUUAUUGAGGAUGGUUGAGAUUUGUUGAUUAUUUACUUACUAGCGCAUACAACAUACUUAUAUAUUUCUUUGUACUCCAUUAAAGAGUUUGUUUUGGUGAGAUGUGUAGCUACUCAACUUAACUGAAUACUAUACACAAUUUGUUCUUUUGUUUGUAUUUUAUUCAACACUUGCUAUAUUUGCUAAAUUACUUGCUGAAA